CUUACCAAGCCACAUAGCAAUUGCACUCUUGGGUACUUACCUGACAGAAAAACUUAUGUUCACACAAAAACCUGUAACACGUAUGUUCAUGAUAAAUUUAUUCGUAAUAGUCAAAACACUGGAACCGAUUCACUCAAUGAGCCAAUGGGGUUAAUGAAUUAGUUCCACUGAUGCUUUGUCACUGAAGUCAGGAAGUACCCAGACAGUAAGGGACUGCCUUUUGAAGUUCUUCUGAUAUUGGACAAUGCCCCUGGCUACCCAGAAUCCCAUGAGUUCAACACCGAAGGCUUUUGUCCAAGUGGUCCACUGGUCCCCAAACACAAACUCUCUAAUUCAGCCUGUAGAUCAGGGGGUCAUAGGGACCUUUAAGGUUCAUUACACACAGAACUCUAUGGAAACGAAUGUCAACACUAUGGAAAAACCUCCACAGACAGAACAUGAUGAAAGUCUGGGAGGAUUAUCCCAUUGAAGAUGCCCUGUUGUCAUAGAAAAAGCCAUGAAAGCCAACAAGACUGAAACAAAUUUCUGCUGAAGAAAUCUAUGUCCAGAUGUUGUGCAUGACUUCACAGGAUUUACUACAAAGCCAAUCAAGAAAAUCAUGAAAGAGAUUGUAGACACGGCAAAAAGGGUGGGGAGUGAUGUGUUUCAACAUAUGGGUCUUAGAGAAAUUCAAGAGCUAACAGAUACCACACCAGAGGAAUUAACAGAAGACAAGGUGGAGAUAGAUGCUUCUGAACCACUGCCAGACAGUGAGAAAGAUGCAGAACAGUGCCAGAAAACAAACUGACAUUAGACAAUCUGGCAGAACGGUUCUGAAUAUACAAGACUACUCUUGACUUCUUUUACGACAUGGACCCUUCUAUGAUACAGGCAACAAGAUCAACCCCUCCUCUUCCUCCUCAGCCUACUCAACAGGAAGACAAGUAGGAUGCAGACCUUUACAAUGAGCCACUUCAACUUAAUGAAUACAGGUCAAGUCAUGUUACUCAACCCAGACGCCCUAAGGAAAGGGAAGAGUUCAAGAUCAAUAACAAGAAGGGGUUCCGAGUGGCACCAUCACAUAUUCAUUUACUGUCAGCUCAUUAAUACACAAUAUGGUGGCAGAAGAAAACACCGAAAACAAUACCACUACCCCACUCCCUUUAUUAGAAAAAAGUUAAAAUACAAAUUCUAUUACUGUUUACCUAGGACCUAACUUCACACGGCUGACAUUUCUCAAAGAUAGGUCAUAGGAUCCCCAUUCCAGAAAGGGUGCUGUUCCAUACCCGGAAGGAAAGAAUGCUGCACAGAGAGGCCAAGAAGAAUCUAUACAGACAGGCAGGCCUUGCUGGGUUUCCCCACUCAGUAUAUGGCUGUCCAGACUUUGCUGAACCUAAGCAUACCAAUGGGCAGUUUUCUCCUAUAUCUUUAGGUCUUUAUUCUGAAGGCUCCCAUGUCACGUAACACCAAGAUCAAAUAAAAUCAUAUGCCCUUUCUCCUAUUAAUCUGCCUUUUUUCAGCUGAUUUUCAAAGAACCUUCAGAGGCUGAAAGGGAAGUUUUUUCUUGGCCCCUACAAUAUGCUACAACUCCAGUAAGUUAAUUAGUAAAUAUUAAACUAUUUUUGGAAGGAAAAAAAACUGAAAAUAACAUUGCUUUAGAGAUAAAUUAUUUAAGAAUUGCUAGAAAUUACCCUAGAAAUUAUCCUAGAAAAAUCUUAAAAUUUUCCCUAAAAACUUUUAGGAAUAAUACAUUGUUUCUAAUGAGACCCUUCAGCUUAUGCAAAAAGCACAGGAGACUAAAUUCUAGAGUCAACGAAACGAUAUUCUCCAAUUCUGUUUUGCUAAUGAAUAUGUUGUCCAUCCCCCCAUCAGCAUGCUUAGGUAAUCUUGCAAGGAUAAAUGGAAAUGUCAGUUGACAUUUACAAUGAAAUAGGAUUUUUAGACAGUUGUGCUUUUUGGGUGGGAAAAGGAGAGCUAAAAAUUAGGGGGUUGGGGGCUUAAAAAAGACAGCAUUAUAUGGCUUAGAACUUUGGUACCCUACCUUCAU
rnacentral:lncRNA from 1 species